AACGUAGGAGACAAACGUUAUCCGGAGUUACUGGGCGUAAAGGGCGUGUAGGCGGUAUGUUAAGUCUGGCGUGAAAGCUCUCGGCUAAACCGGGAGAGGUCGUUGGAUACUGGCAAGCUAGAGGAUGGUAGAGGCGUGUGGAAUUCCGGGUGUAGUGGUGAAAUGCGUAGAUAUCUGGAGGAACACCGGUGGCGAAGGCGGCGUUCUGGACUGCAACUGACACUGUAAAACGAAAGCCAGGGGAGCAAACGGG
rnacentral:rRNA from 1 species